rnacentral:rRNA from 1 species
UGGGGAAUAUUGCACAAUGGGCGCAAGCCUGAUGCAGCCAUGCCGCGUGUGUGAAGAAGGCCUUCGGGUUGUAAAGCACUUUCAGUGGUGAGGAAGGUCAGUAAGUUAAUAGCUUGCUGAAUUGACGUUAGCCACAGAAGAAGCACCGGCUAACUCCGUGCCAGCAGCCGCGGUAAUACGGAGGGUGCAAGCGUUAAUCGGAAUUACUGGGCGUAAAGCGUACGUAGGCGGUGUGUUAAGCAAGAUGUGAAAGCCCCGGGCUCAACCUGGGAAUUGCAUUUUGAACUGGCACGCUAGAGUCCUGAAGAGGGUGGUAGAAUUUCCAGUGUAGCGGUGAAAUGCGUAGAUAU